UUUGACCCUCAAGGCAUAACAUUCUAGUAAGUGAGAUUGUAAGUCUCACAUUCUUCAUGACAUUAGGUGGAGACUUGACCUUUUUUCCUUUCAUGGGAGCCAGUGGCAUACUUGUUAAAUUAUCGAAGUUGGAGCCCUUCUCAUGGAAGAUGUCUUGGUUUAAGGAUUCAUACUUGUGAAUGAAUGGUUGAGUGUUCUCCAAAGAAUGACUUAAUCAAUUAAAAAUCACCUCUAACACCACUAACUUUUGACACCUUCUCAUGGAAGAUGUCUUGGUUUAAGGAUUCAUACUUGUGAAUGAAUGGUUGAGUGUUCUCCAAAGAAUGACUUAAUCAAUUAAAAAUCAC
rnacentral:lncRNA from 1 species